rnacentral:rRNA from 1 species
GGUCAAGUUAUUAAGGGUGCAGGGCGGAUGCCUUGGCACUAGGAGCCGAUGAAGGACGUGAUAAGCUGCGAUAAGCUUCGGGGAGUUGCACGUAAACUUUGAUCCGAAGAUUUCCGAAUGAGGAAACUCACUUAGAGUAAUGUCUAAGUAUCAUUAAGUGAAUACAUAGCUUAAUGAGGGGAACUCAGGGAACUGAAACAUCUAAGUACCUGAAGGAAGAGAAAGAAAUUCGAUUCCGUAAGUAGCGGCGAGCGAACGCGGAUUAGCCCAAACCAAUAAAGUUUUCUUUAUUGGGGUUGCGGACAUAUCAUAACGAAGAGGUAUCGUAAUUGAAGAGGUUUGGAAAGACCCACCACAGAAGGUAAUAGUCCUGUAUGUUAAACGAGAAGACUUUAGAUAUGAUCCAGAGUACCACGGGACACGUGAAACCCUGUGGGAAGCAGGAGGGACCACCCUCCAAGGCUAAAUACUACCUAGUGACCGAUAGCGUAUAGUACCGUGAGGGAAAGGUGAAAAGAACCCCGGGAGGGGAGUGAAAUAGAACCUGAAACCCUGCACUUACAAGCUGUGGAAGCACAUUUCUUGUGUGACCGCGUACUUUUUGUAGAACGGGCCAACGAGUUACGUUAAGUAGCAAGGUUAAGCACUUAAGGUGCGGAGCCGUAGCGAAAGCGAGUUUUAACUGAGCGUUCAGUUACUUGACGUAGACCCGAAACCGGGCGACCUACCCAUGAGCAGGAUGAAGCGAAAGUAAAAUUUCGUGGAGGUCCGAACCCACGAGCGUUGAAAAGCUCGGGGAUGACUUGUGGGUAGCGGUGAAAUUCCAAUCGAGCCCGGAGAUAGCUGGUUCUCCCCGAAAUAGCUUUAGGGCUAGCCUCAAGGUGAGAGAUACGGAGGUAGAGCACUGAAUGUCCUAGGGGGUAUUGCACCUACCGAAGACUAUCAAACUCCGAAUGCCGUCAUCUUAUACUUGGGAGUCAGACUGUGGGUGAUAAGAUUCAUAGUCGAAAGGGCAACAGCCCAGAUCGUCAGCUAAGGUCCCUAAAUGUAAGUUAAGUGGUAAAGGAUGUGGGAUUGCACAGACAACCAGGAUGUUGGCUUAGAAGCAGCCACUCAUUCAAAGAGUGCGUAAUAGCUCACUGGUCGAGUGAUCCUGCGCCGAAGAUUUCCGGGGCUAAAACUUACUACCGAAGCUACGGCAUCAGUAAUGAUGGGUAGGGGAGCUUCCCAUACGGGUUGAAGCAUGACCGUAAGGACAUGUGGACAGUAUGGGAGUGAGAAUGUUGGCAUGAGUAG